CCUUUGGUUGAAGUAAAGCUGUAGAUCUUGAUUUUUCCCACACUGAAUCUCUCUCUCUCUUGUCAUCUUUCUUCACCCUCCACCCUUUCUGUGUAAUUGCUCGCUGAAGGUUAUUGCUGCAGGAUGCUAACUAAUUAACGUGCGUGUGUGAGAUGAAGCAAUAAGUCAAAACUGGUUUUGCUUCAGGACCCAGAUUUAACAUUGGACACAUAACCAACAUGGUUUAAAAGUAACAAGCUUUAAUUAAAAUUCAUUAAAUUGGUAUUUCAGUGCAGGCAAGAUGAGCUUUUAAUAAAUUUUGCCUGUCUAUGCAAUAAAAGGCAAAAAAAAAAUCAGAAAUUGGUGCUACAUGACAAGAGAAAACAGAGAAAAAGUUUUGUGGCGUUCCCUUUUGCCAAAAACCUUACUAUCGACAAUUUCCAUCUGUAGUUUUAGCGAAAGCCCUGGGGCAGUCAAAAAUCAGCAAAAUGGUGCAAAAUUACACUUUGAUGCUUUUAAUUACAUUUCGAAGUCAAAUAAAUGGAGAUAUCUGAUGCACACUGUUCACUGUAAUAAAUUACUAGCAUUGUAACAUGCAAAGCUAAAUGAAAACUGGCAAACUUCUCCUUUAGUUCAUCCAUGAACUGCAUUAACACAAUAAAAUACUUUUUUCUUUUUAACAUGACAGACAGAAUAUUAAAAAUGAACAGCACAUGGACAGCAGCAGACAGAACAACACUGGGCUAAAUGUUGUAUAAAGCUGGUCUCAGUUGUGUGCUUCAUGCUCUCGGAAACAAUAAUUCACAGCACAAAACACUCUGUGGUCGACGCAAACUAAGUUUGCUUGUUUUGCGAGUGAAGCCAUAUUUAAUAUAGAUCAUGUUUUCUCACACAGUGUUUGUGGUUUUUGAGGAUGAAGGCGUGUCACAACCUGUCCAACUUGUUACAGUUUUGUAAUGUAAUACCAACUAACUGUGCAUGAUUAUAUGUUUAGGAAUGUUUUAUUUGUUGGAUUCCACCACCACCACCAUAAGUAAUGACAGGCCGUGCUUUACAGGGAUUUUACCAUGGUCAUUAUCCUGAAUUAUUUGACUCUUGAAUGGUGCAAUGGAUCAAUCAGAAUCACGUAUUUCAGAGAUCUGGUUAAUAAUCAUUAGUUAUGCACACCCUCACACACUUCCACAUGCAAAUAGACAUUCAUUUGCCUAGACAUAAUUCUAUCGAACAAACAGCCUUCACAUGCAUGGUGCUUGUGGGCAGCACAAUGGAAAAAAAUGGGAAAAUCCUGUAGAGUUUCAUAGCAUGCAAAUCGUUACAACAUUUCAAGACCUACUGUAUUCUGACAUAAAUCAGCAUUUGUUUUUUUGAGCGCUCCAGUGAAACCAGUAGCCACAGUGAUGAAAUGAUGCUGUCAUAUCUGUGCAUCAGUGAGGAUGAGGAUGUCCUGAUGAUGGAGGAGUGCUUUCACACGUGAGGAGAAGUCUGCUGUGACACAGAGAUCCGCAGGUGGAGCAGAUGACACGCUUUCUCUUUCAGUUCUGUUGUGAGGUGUUUAAAGCGACCAUGACAGAGCUUCAUACCUUUUCCUCCCGCAUCCUCCCUCCAGUUGCGUUUGCCAGAUUUUCUUGUUAAAUGCUAUCUGUCAGGUUUAUCAGCUAAUUAGCAGUGGCUGCCUUUAAAGAGCUCCUCUGUCUUUCCCCUGUCUGUCGCCUUUUUUGAAGAGAGUUUAUUAGAGUGUUCAACAAUGUCUAGGGAAAGCAGAGCCACAGGAGAAACUCUCAGAGCUCUUUAAUGUGACGCUGAAUCAACAUCCGCUGUUGUGCAGCAAGACUACAAACUCAUCACCUGGAGAAGCCGACUGCAUUGUGAUUCAUGUUUGUCAAACUCCACGACAGAGUUUGCACGCAAGCAGGAAAGAACAGCAGUGAACAGAUUUGAAAUACUUCAAAUAUAGAAGAAAAGAAGGGAAGGCAAAGACAAAAGGAUUAUGCACAAUUUUACCUUAAAGUAAACAAUUCAUAUAAUGUCACAUCACUUUUUUUUUUUCUGGUCCCGUGAUAAAAAUUGUAAAAUGCAAACUCUUUCUAGGGAGGUUUUCCCUGCCACUGUCAUUUUUAGGUUGCUCAGUGAUGCUUUAUUACUGUUUUCUGCAAAGCUGCUGCAUGUGGAACAACAUUUAUUGUGGAAAUGCUAUAGAAUUUUUUUAUUUUAUUUAUUUAUUUAUUUUUAACCAGUGCUGUCGUGGUUUUUGACAUUUCUAUAAAUACAUGUGAAUUUAAUAUAAAAUUAAAUUUUAGAAAAUCAGCACUGCAGUGAUUUUUUUUUUAUAUUUUAAGAAAUAAAUGUGCAUUUAAUUUAAAAUGUAUUUUAUUUUAUUGCAUGCUUUAUAAAUUUAUUUAUUUAUUUAUUAGUUUGUUUGUUUGUUUGUCACUGCCCCAGUGGUUGUUAAAAUGUAUGAAAUGUAUUUUAUGAUGAUGAUGAUGAUAAGCUUAUUGGCCCUUUUAAUGACAUUUACUGUAAAAAAAAAAAUGCUAUAGAUAUUUAUCUAAAUUAAAUUUAAUGUUUCCCUGCUU
ensembl:lncRNA